rnacentral:rRNA from 1 species
CCUACGGGAGGCAGCAGUGAGGAAUAUUGGUCAAUGGUCGGGAGACUGAACCAGCCAAGCCGCGUGAGGGAUGAAGGUACAGAGUAUCGUAAACCUCUUUUGUCAGGGAACAAAGGCGGGGACGUGUCCCCGGAUGAGUGUACCUGAAGAAAAAGCAUCGGCUAACUCCGUGCCAGCAGCCGCGGUAAUACGGAGGAUGCGAGCGUUAUCCGGAUUGAUUGGGUUUAAAGGGUGCGCAGGCGGUCUGUUAAGUCAGCGGUCAAAGCCCGGGGCACAACCCGGGCCCGCCGUUGAAACUGGCAGUCUCGAGUUGGAGAGAAGUAUGCGGAAUGCGCGGUGUAGCGGUGAAAUGCAUAGAUAUCGCGAAGAACUCCGAUUGCGAAGGCAGCAUGCCGGCUCCAAACUGACGCUGAGGCACGAAAGCGUGGGUAUCGAACAGGAUUAGAUACCCCUGUAGUC